UGGGGAAUUUUGGACAAUGGGCGAAAGCCUGAUCCAGCAAUGCCGCGUGUGUGAAGAAGGCCUUCGGGUUGUAAAGCACUUUUGUCCGGAAAGAAAUGGCUCUGGUUAAUACCUGGGGUCGAUGACGGUACCGGAAGAAUAAGGACCGGCUAACUACGUGCCAGCAGCCGCGGUAAUACGUAGGGUCCAAGCGUUAAUCGGAAUUACUGGGCGUAAAGCGUGCGCAGGCGGUUGUGCAAGACCGAUGUGAAAUCCCCGAGCUUAACUUGGGAAUUGCAUUGGUGACUGCACGGCUAGAGUGUGUCAGAGGGGGGUAGAAUUCCACGUGUAGCAGUGAAAUGCGUAGAGAUGUGGAGGAAUACCGAUGGCGAAGGCAGCCCCCUGGGAUAACACUGACGCUCAUGCACGAAAGCGUGGGGGCAAACAGGAUUAGAUACCCUGGUAGUCCACGCCCUAAACGAUGUCAACUAGUUGUUGGGGGAUUCAUUUCCUUAGUAACGUAGCUAACGCGUGAAGUUGACCGCCUGGGGAGUACGGUCGCAAGAUUAAAACUUAAAUGAAUUGACGGGGUCAUAGCUGUUUCCU
rnacentral:rRNA from 1 species